GCAGAAACAUUCAUUAUUUCCCUGUUUAAUAUGUGUGUUAGCCUGGGAAUGGUGCUGUUAGACAAGGCUGCCACCUCUACGAUGAACAUCAGAAAGAGAAAGAUGAUGUGUCUGGCUGGUAUGUGUCUUGUUGCCAUAUUCUUCAGUCGGCUGCUUUCCCUCUUUAGAUUUAAAGUACCUGACUAUCCAUACAGCUUUGUCUGGGAUUAAAAAGGAUCCUACAGACAUAGACAAUGAAGCAAGAAAUUUGAAAAAAAAAAUGUGAAGCAGAAAAAUGCAAACUCAUAGCUUUUUAAAGUAAUUGAGAUUUCACCAAAAGAGACCAUAAGUGCUUUAAGUGCUUUCAAAAUCUGUCAAGUAUUAUGGUAUGUAUCUUCUCUGUUCUUAAUUUUUCUCCCCGAGUGUUAUAGAUUACCUCAAGUCCAAUUAUUAAAAUCUUUAGAGAGUACAACUUU
rnacentral:lncRNA from 1 species